CAGCCGCCGCGGGAAUACGUAGGGUGCGAGCGUUGUCCGGAUUUAUUGGGCGUAAAGCGAGCGCAGGCGGUUAGAUAAGUCUGAAGUUAAAGGCUGUGGCUUAACCAUAGUACGCUUUGGAAACUGUUUAACUUGAGUGCAAGAGGGGAGAGUGGAAUUCCAUGUGUAGCGGUGAAAUGCGUAGAUAUAUGGAGGAACACCGGUGGCGAAAGCGGCUCUCUGGCUUGUAACUGACGCUGAGGCUCGAAAGCGUGGGGCGCAAACAGGAUUAGAUACCCCCGUAGUCCCUGUCUCUUAUACA
rnacentral:rRNA from 1 species